CAGCCGCCGCGGUAAUACAGAGGGUGCAAGCGUUAAUCGGAAUUACUGGGCGUAAAGCGCGCGUAGGUGGUUUGUUAAGUUGGAUGUGAAAUCCCCGGGCUCAACCUGGGAACUGCAUCCAAAACUGGCAAGCUAGAGUAUGGUAGAGGGUGGUGGAAUUUCCUGUGUAGCGGUGAAAUGCGUAGAUAUAGGAAGGAACACCAGUGGCGAAGGCGACCACCUGGACUGAUACUGACACUGAGGUGCGAAAGCGUGGGGAGCAAACAGGAUUAGAUACCCCUGUAGUCCCUGUCUCUUAUAA
rnacentral:rRNA from 1 species